GUUACUGUGGAUGUGGAAAUCCAGGGUGAGGCUGGUGGUUGAAGGAGAAAGGAGCUCUGCUGCUGCAGAGGCUGGCAUGGAGCAGCACAGACUCAAGACGCUGAAGACCACGUAUCACUUUCCUUAAGACUCCUCCUCGGGACCUGUCCCUGGAGACCGUCCUGAUGGACCGGCUGGACGCUCUUGUGUCACAUGCUUGGUGAGGUGGACAUCCAUCCUCGUGGACCCUGAGACAGCCUGCAGGCCUGAACUCUCCACACCCGUGGAUGAGCUGAGCCUCCUCGUGAAAAGGGAGGGACAAUUCUGGACACCACCUUCCCCCAAAUCCUGGAGCUCCAGGUCAUCUGCAUCCCGUGCUCUGGAUCAGUAUUUUCUACAAUCUCAGGGUCUCCAAGGAAUGACUGCACCUGACCAGGCUGGGCUGAGUUGCCUUUUAAGUGAUGGCUGUUUUCAAUGAUACCGGGAGACAGAUGGUCUGUUCUAAGAAGGUAAUGGCUUUACAGUAUUUUUCAGAGAUUCCCCAGUAGAAAUCACUUGGUGUUUCCAUCAAACGGUCGCAGCAUUUACUUAGCUGACUCAGAUUCCCCUGGGAAGUGGUCUGCUCCUCCUCUCCUGGAGAGAGACAGGAACUGGCAGGUCCUCACCUUGUCGGUGACAGUGACGCAAAUAUGGAGGUCCCAUCUCCACCACUAACCACCUUGCAGGCAAGCUUCCCAUCGUGCAGAGAAAGUAAAGAGGCGAGUGACUUGCAGAAGGGUGCACAGAGGCAGGAGGGGGGUGGAGCCUGGCGCUCACAGGCACAAAGUGGAAAGCAUCUUUCUCUUGGGCUGGAAAGGCUUGAGGGUGGGCUGCCUCUUCUGCCACCCGAGAUCUGAAGGUGGCGAUUGCAUUCCUGUUGCAGUGCAGAACCCCUGCCCGGACAAAGCAGCAAUUCAGCCGCCUUGACCUCGGGGCAAGGCUCCUGGCCGUGCAUUCUUUUUCAGGCGUUAUUCGUGGAGAGCCUGGCUGGGUGGCUGAAGAAGACCCAGAAGUGAUGAGAAGAGGCCGUUCAGGAGCCCACGCUGUCUCUACUGAGAUGAAGUAAAACCACGUUGUCUACGCAGGUGCACAAACCAUUUCAGCUCGAGCAUCUGCUUAAGAGGGAAGGGGUGCAGCGCUGGAGCCAUCAGAAUUAGACGGUAAUGAUUAACUAUCUCCUUACUGCGUCCCCGGAACGUAAGCCAUGGUGCAUCUGAAUCCCUGCACCGUGUUCCACAUGCCAGGAUCUUGGCAACGAGAGGGGAACCCUGCAGAGGCGUGGGGUCGCACCUGACACGGCAACCCUCCUCCCUCUGCUUCUCGCGGAUCCAGCCGGAUGGGGCAGCAGGUGGAGAUACUGCUCCCCUUUGGAAGGGACCCAGGUGAUGACACUGGACCACCUGUAAGACCCAGGUCACCUGUGCAUCUCAAGGUGCUUAGCAGGACCACAUCUGCCCACUCCCUUUUGCCACUAAGUUCACAUAUUCACAACGUUCGGGUAUUAGAACAUGGACAUCUUUGGGGACAUUACUCAGCUGACCACAGCAGGCGUCUCAACACUGAUGCCUUAUGCUCUUCUGUGCUCUCAGCUCUGGACUUUGUUGGUGGAUUCCCCCAAUCUUCCUCAGUUCUUAUACUGUUUUAAUGUAUCUUUAAAUAACAGAGGCCAGAAAUAAACCCACACACCUAUGGUCAAUUAAUAUUUGACAAAGGACACAAGAAUACACAAUGGGAAAAAGUCUCUUCAGCAAGUGGUGCUGGGAAAGUUGGAGACAUGCAUGUAAAUCAAUGAGGUUUAGAACACACGCUCACACCAAACACAAAAAUAAACUCAAAAUGGAUUAAAGGCUUAAAACUCCCAGAAGAGAACACAGGCAAAACAUUCUCUCACGAAUCAGGUCAGUCUCCCAAGGCAAUAGAAACAUAAACAAAUGGGACCUAAUCAGCUUUUGCACAGCAGAGGAAACCAUGAACAGACUAUAGAAUGGGAGAAAAUAUUUGCAAGCAAUGCAACUGAUGAAGGCUUAAUUUCCAAAAUCUACAAACAACUGAACAACAAAUACCCCAGUCGAAAAAUGGGCAGAGACCUAAAUAGACAUUUCUUCAAAGACAUACAGAUGGCAAACAGACACAUGAAAGGGUGCUCAACAUCUCUACAUUAUUAGAGAAAUGCACAUCAAAAGUACAGUGAGGUAUCACCUCACACAGGGCAGAAUGCCCAUCAUCAAAAAGUCUACAAAUAAUAUAUGCUGGGGCGGGGGUGAAGGAAAGGGAACCCGCCUGCACUGUGGGUGGGAAUGUAAGAACAGGAUGGAGGUUCCUCAAAAAACUACAAAUAGAACUACCAUACGACCCAGCAGUCCCAUUACUGGGCAUAUACCCUGAGAAAACCAUAAUUCAAAAAGACACAUGCAUGCCAGUGUUUAUAGCAGCACUGUUUACAAGAGCCAGGUCAUGGUAGCAACCUAACUGUCCAUCAGCAGAUGAAUGGAUAAGAAGAUGUGGUACAUACAUUACUAAUGCCAUUGGCAGCAACGUGGAUGGACCUAGAGAUUAUCAUACUAAACGAAGGAAGUCAGACAAAGACAAAUACCACCUGAUAUCAGAAGCAGAAACAGACUCACAGACUUAGGGAAGGAACUUAUGUUUACCAAAGGGGAAGGGGUGGGGGAAGGAUAAAUUAGGAGUUUGGGAGUAACAUACACACAUACUAUACAUAAAAUAGAGGAACACACUACUAUAUAUAGAAUAGAGGAAAACGAGGACCUACUGUGUAACACGGAGAACCCUACUCAGUAUUUUGUAAUAACCUAAAUGGGAAAAGAAUAUGUACAUGGAUAACUGAAUCACUAUGCUGUAUACCUGAAACUAACAAUGUUGUAGAUGAA